AUCCAAUUGACGCGUCCCGAAUAGGACGAAACGCGUGUCCUAGAU
rfam:Schistosoma mattheei strain Denwood, Zambia genome assembly, scaffold: SMTD_scaffold0002051